CAUUUUUGGCAGUUUCCAAUUACAGGUCACCUGCUAUUUUUGGAAACUUUUGAUCUGACUUUAUUUUCUCCAAUCUUGAUCUUUGAAAUGUCAAAUGAGACUUGUAUGGACAUGAAUGAAGCCUUUCAAACCAUCUCCCACCUUCAAAUCCUUGAUUUCAGGCACAGUUGACCACAGUUGAAUUUCUAGGGUUUCUGGUGGAUUGAA
rnacentral:lncRNA from 1 species